CCUACGGGAGGCAGCAGUGGGGAAUAUUGCACAAUGGGGGAAACCCUGAUGCAGCGACGCCGCGCGAGUGAAGAAGUCCUUCGUUAUGUAAAGCUCUAUCAGCAGGGAAGAAAAUGACGGUACCUGAGUAAUAAGCCCCGGCUACCUACGUGCCAGCAGCCGCGGUCAUACGUAGGGGGCAAGCGGUAUCCGGAUUUACUGGGUGUAAAGGGAGCGUAGACGGCAGUGCAAGUCUGGAGUGAAAGGCGGGGGCUCAACCCCCGGACUGCUCUGGAAACUGUACGGCUGGAGUGCAGGAGAGGUAAGUGGAAUUCCUAGUGUAGCGGUGAAAUGCGUAGAUAUUAGGAGGAACACCGAUUGCGAAGGCAUCUCACGAAGCCGCGAUUGACGCUGAUGCACGAAAGCGUGGGUAUCAAACAGGAUUAGAUACCCUGGUAGUC
rnacentral:rRNA from 1 species